CCCUUAGAUGUCCGGGGCCGCACGCGCGCUACACUGAAGGAAUCAGCGUGGCUUUCUCCCUGACCCGAAAGGGUUGGGAAACCCGUUGAAUCUCCUUCGUGAUAGGGAUUGGGGCUUGAAAUUGUUCCCCAUGAACGAGGAAUUCCCAGUAAGCGCGAGUCAUAAGCUCGCGUUGAUUACGUCCCUGCCCUUUGUACACACCGCCCGUCGCUCCUACCGAUUGAGCAAUCCGGUGAAUACUUCGGACCGGUUACUUGGUUGGUUCGCUAACCUUGUGACUGGAAAGUCGAGUGAACCUUAUUGCUUAGAGGAAGGAGAAGUCGUAACA
rnacentral:rRNA from 1 species